rnacentral:rRNA from 1 species
AGUGAACGCUGGCGGUAGGCCUAACACAUGCAAGUCGAACGGCAGCACAGUAAGAGCUUGCUCUUACGGGUGGCGAGUGGCGGACGGGUGAGGAAUACAUCGGAAUCUACUUUUUCGCGGGGGAUAACGUAGGGAAACUUACGCUAAUACCGCAUACGACCUACGGGUGAAAGCAGGGGAUCUUCGGACCUUGCGCGAUUGAAUGAGCCGAUGUCGGAUUAGCUAGUUGGCGAGGUAAAGGCCCACCAAGGCGACGAUCCGUAGCUGGUCUGAGAGGAUGAUCAGCCACACUGGAACUGAGACACGGUCCAGACUCCUACGGGAGGCAGCAGUGGGGAAUAUUGGACAAUGGGCGAAAGCCUGAUCCAGCCAUACCGCGUGAGUGAAGAAGGCCUUCGGGUUGUAAAGCCCUUUUGUUGGGAAAGAAAAGCAGCAGGUUAAUACCCCGCUGUUCUGACGGUACCCAAAGAAUAAGCACCGGCUAACUUCGUG